UGGGGAAUUUUGGACAAUGGGCGAAAGCCUGAUCCAGCAAUGCCGCGUGUGUGAAGAAGGCCUUCGGGUUGUAAAGCACUUUUGUCCGGAAAGAAAUGGCUCUGGUUAAUACCUGGGGUCGAUGACGGUACCGGAAGAAUAAGGACCGGCUAACUACGUGCCAGCAGCCGCGGUAAUACGUAGGGUCCAAGCGUUAAUCGGAAUUACUGGGCGUAAAGCGUGCGCAGGCGGUUGUGCAAGACCGAUGUGAAAUCCACGAGCUUAACUUGGGAAUUGCAUGGGUCACUGCAAGGCUAGAGUGUGGCAGAGGGGGGUAGAAUUCCGCGUGUAGCAGUGAAAUGCGUAGAGAUGUGGAGGAAUACCGAUGGCGAAGGCAGCCCCCUGGGAUAACACUCACGAUAAUGCACGAAAGCGUGGGGAGCAAACAGG
rnacentral:rRNA from 1 species